rnacentral:rRNA from 1 species
UACGGGGGGGGGCAAGCGUUGUUCGGAAUUACUGGGCGUAAAGGGCUCGUAGGUGGCCAACUAAGUCAGACGUGAAAUCCCCUCGGCUUAACCGGGGAACUGCGUCUGAUACUGGAUGGCUUGAGGUUGGGAGAGGGAUGCGGAAUUCCAGGUGUAGCGGUGAAAUGCGUAGAUAUCUGGAGGAACACCGGUGGCGAAGGCGGCAUCCUGGACCAAUUCUGACGCUGAGGAGCGAAAAGCCAGGGGAGCAAACGGG